CGUGAGGGAAAGUUGCAAAGUACUUUGAAGAGAGAGUUAAACAGGGCGUGAAACCGCUAGCUGGUAAACGAGUGGAGCCACGAAGUCGUUUCGUAGAAUAAGAGGUACAGAUUCAGUUAGGGUCUACGCAAGUAGGCUCUGGUGCAUUUCUGUUUAUCUCUCUAUGUAUGCGUACACUGCAACCAAUUAGACGAUCAGUUGUGGAAAUGGCUAACCGAUGUUGGGAGAAAUCUUAGUAUUAGUUAGCGAAAUGCUUAUAUACCCGUCUAUAGGUUGCUUGAUUUGAUCCUCGUGGUCGUCUCGAGUGUAUGAUAGGCGGUAUGAGAACUACAAUUGAAUACUGAUUGGCACAAUGAAAAUCCAUUCGCAAGAAUGGUCUCAGAUAACACUAUCCGUGUCGUAUGUGUGUACAAGUACUUAUUAUUAGCGUAAGCUUGGUAGUUUUAAAUUUAGACUGGCAGGCUAUCUUGGGUUUCGGCCUUUGAUGCCUGUUCAGCUUUCUAUCUAAUUGGCUGUCAACUUUGCUAGUGAUCUUGUGCUUGUCGAUGAUAGCAUAUAUGCGACAAUGGACAAGUAAUCUUAUUAGCAGUGAGUAGGUCGGCUUUCCACACGACCCGUCUUGAAACACG
rnacentral:rRNA from 1 species